rnacentral:lncRNA from 1 species
CUUAUACCCCCUCCCUCAGUAACCACCAUUAGGCUUUCUUCUCUAAAGGCUAAACAGAAACCAGCCCUUUUAUAAGACUCACACUGGUAAUGUCUGUUACUGACUUAUCUUCCCAGGUACAGAACAAAGACAAGAUGAGAUUGAUCAUUACUUUACCCCUCCCUGAGGUGUUCGUUUUCUUCAUAUGUUCAUCUUAUGUUGUGUAAAAUGUAGAUUUACUGGGUAUUAACUGAAGUCUCACAUGUAUAUAACCAUUUGUCUCACUGCCCCUCCUUUUUUUUUUUUUUAAGGAAAAUGUAUAAGUACAAAACCUCUUGAGAACCUUUCUGGAAUCAAUAGCCACAGAUGCGUCUGUUACUUGUGUUUUUCACAGGCAAGCCCUCUAGCUGGCUCAAUAAACCUCAAUUGAUUGGGACAACUGCCUCGGUCACUCAAUUUGGUUGUCGAAUUGAUACCACUACACCCUUACCAGCCAUCCUACAACCAAGACAUUAUAGAACCUACAGAACUGAUACAACAUUGUGGAUUGCACAUUGAGACCCAGAAACACCUGUGUGCUUUGAUGACAUAAUUAAACUGUUGGAUCAACCUGAAUACUCUUCCUAUUCUGGACUUUAUGUAAAGUUGAAACUCUUUAAAAGCCUUGGAUUUAAAAAGCAUCCCAGGUUGCACUUUCCAGACAAACGGAGGCAUUCUUGUUAUUGGUAUGAUUGAGAGACCUGAACUUCAGAAACGAAGAUCAAAUCCUCAGAGAUUCUUACUUCUGUAAGCACAAUAAGGGAAGAGAUUUUGGGGUCUCUGUUUGCUGCAUAUUACAAAACAGCAAAUUAUUCAAGUCUACUGUGUUUUAGGCACAUUCUGCAGGGGUCUGAUAAGGAGAUCUCAAUAGAGUGAUUCUAAGAAGCAGAAUGCAUAUUCUUUUAGCAUAACUGGGCAAGUAAUCAAUAAAGUAAAUGUACUAUUAUACAAUCAAUUUGAAUUUAGUAAGCAAAUUCAGGAUGAGAAAUCAUGUUGAAAGCUGUAAUACUUUCUGUAUGAUCAGAGUUAAAUGUACCAACUAGCAAAACUGAAUUUUUAAAAUACUUUUGCUUUUACUAUGCAUUUGAAUAAACACUUUCCGCUGAAAGUAUCAAUGUGGCUAUUUUAUAUAUAAAGAGUAACACUAUCAUUUUUAAAAAAACUUUCCUCCAUUCUUGAUUUCUUGUCAUUUUUUAACUUUUAAAAAAUCAAACCACAUGGCAACAGCAACUAAAAGGACUAAAAAUGAAAUAUAGUAACACGCUAAUGGCAGUAUCAAAUUUUGUGAAAAAUUUCAGAUACUUGGG